GGGGCUGACCGGUUUUGACAGUAGGUGUAAGGAUCGGGCUCGCAUGUCAGGUGGAGUAUGUACGUCUGUGAAUAAUUCAUACAAACCAUAAUUGGCGAAUCUAAUUACGCCAUGGCUGCCUAAUCUAUCCCUCACGGGAAAUAGAUAACGCUUAAAGGGUUGAGCCUCGAUAGAGAUUCCCCGGCCACAUCUCGCAACCCUACGUCCUUUCGGGGUUGAUUCUGAGGUGUCGAAAUGUUAGGACUAGUAUCUGUGAUGCUACUACGCAGAUGCGAAAAUCUAGUAGAUAAGUGAUAUGUAGGUGUGUCAUCCAGCAGCAUAUCAUCGAAAACCCAACAGGUGACUAAACAUGUAGACGGUACGGUGUUUCCCUAUCUGGACGCGAGUUCGAAUCUCGCCAGCUCCACAA
rfam:Belliella baltica DSM 15883, complete genome.